rnacentral:tRNA from 1 species
CGUCUAUAUAGAUUAAUAGAAAUCAUGAUGCUGUUAACUUCAAGAAGGGAUUUUAUCUCUGUAGUCGA